rnacentral:rRNA from 1 species
UACGUAGGACGCGAGCGUUGUCCGGAGUUACUGGGCGUAAAGGGCAUGCAGGCGGUCAGACGCGUUUUGUGUGACAGCGGAGGGCUUCACUCUCCGAGCAUACGAAAGACGGUGUGACUUGAGGGCUCGAGAGGGACACGGAAUUCCGGGUGGAGUGGUGAAAUGCGCAGAUAUCGGGAAGAACACCCGUGGCGAAGGCGGUUCUCUGGGACGGUACUGACGCUGAGACGCGAAAGCGUGGGGAGCGAACAGG